GACGAACGCUGGCGGCGUGCUUAACACAUGCAAGUCGAACGAAGAGCGAUGGAAGCUUGCUUCUAUCAAUCUUAGUGGCGAACGGGUGAGUAACGCGUAAUCAACCUGCCCUUCAGAGGGGGACAACAGUUGGAAACGACUGCUAAUACCGCAUACGAUCUAAUCUCGGCAUCGAGGAUAGAUGAAAGGUGGCCUCUACAUGUAAGCUAUCACUGAAGGAGGGGAUUGCGUCUGAUUAGCUAGUUGGAGGGGUAACGGCCCACCAAGGCGAUGAUCAGUAGCCGGUCUGAGAGGAUGAACGGCCACAUUGGGACUGAGACGCGGCCCAGACUCCUACGGGAGGCAGCAGUGGGGAAUCUUCCGCAAUAGACGAAAGUCUGACGGAGCAACGCCGCGUGAGUGAUGACGGCCUUCGGGUUGUAAAGCUCUGUUAAUCGGGACGAAAGGCCUUCUUGCGAAUAGUGAGAAGGAUUGACGGUACCGGAAUAGAAAGCCACGGCUAACUACGUG
rnacentral:rRNA from 1 species